CUGCUGCUGCUGCUGCUGGUGGUGAUGGUGGUGGUGGCAGUGGUGGUGGUGGUGGUGGUGAUGGUAAUACUGGUAUCGAAAGUGCCCCCGUGAUAAGUGAAGGAGGUGAUAGAGGUGAGCUGGUACCAUGCUGCUAGAGAUGAGAGAAAGAGACAGGGAAAGGUGGCCGUGCAGGUUCCACAUCGUAUGAACUCGUUUAUCUGGCUGUGAAGAACCUCUCGGUCACUUCUCCCGAUGGAAGCUAAGAACUCACACCAGGAAAACUAAGGAGGAUCUGGCUGGUCUGUUACUCAUUUCUUUUCUCUGGACCUUCUGGAUAAGGUGCCCAAGGCAGAGAGUUGGGGAGUUCUGAGCCUCUCACUGAGCAGUCGCCUGACUGGUGCUUCGUAAGGACAGCAGCCACAUGGACUCUAACCAUGGAUGCUCCGUGUGCACAACACGGUAGCCAUUCUCCACUCUGGAAGGAUGGAAAACGGCUCCGCUUUGGUGCCACGGAGCCCAGGGCCAUCUCCAAAAGUGUGAACCUAUCAUUUCCUCUCAACCUCAAUAAGCUGCUUCUAGAACAUACAGGCAGUAUAAAAUUCACAAAGCAAACUCUCCCUCAAAACUUCCCCUGUGGAGGCCCUGAAGCUCUAGGACUCUGGGCUCAAUCAUCCACAGCCAACUCACAGGAGUCUGGGUCAGGAACCUAAAGAUCGGGUUUUUUUCCUGAAGAGGACCCCUGAAGCAAAGAUAAACUAAGCAAGCUACCUGGGAAUCAAGCCCAGAACAUUCACUCCAACAACACGACAUUCAAAUCAUGCACCAUGGUGGUUACAGCUUAAGAAAAAUCUAUUGGAGGUACACAAAGAUGGGCAAACUAGCCAGAUUCUGAAGGGACGGUGCUCAGGCUUUAACACCAUCCCUGACUCAAUUCACUUCCUGUUCUGAGCAUUUCCAGUCAUUGGGGAGCAAGGUCAGUAAAAGAGGAGGAGAAAGAACAUUUGUUUUGAAUGCUUCACGAUCCUGAGUCUCUGUCACCUCUUGCACUUUUCUGUAACUCAGAGGGAAACUGAGGCAGCUGAGGUAACUGGAGUGGGAUGCUGGGAAAUGAGACCACCAUUUCCUAAUACUGAGCUGGGACAGGUUCCAUCCGUCAUGGGCAGCUUGUCUCUUGGAGCCAAGUUGGAGCCAUUACAAAUCCCAAAGUUGGAUUGUAGAGAUGGCUCAGUGGUUAACAGCACCUCCACUCUUGCAGAGAGGAGACUGGUUCCACUCCCAGCACCACGCACGGUGUGAUCCAGAAACAUCUAUAACUCCAGCACCAGAGGAUCUGACACCCUUUUUCUGAUCUCUGGGAGGCACCAGGCGUACACCUGGUGUACAUACGUGCAUGAAUGCAAACCAUUCACACACAAAAAAUGAAAAAGAAGUCCAAAAGCCAAAGAAGCAAGGUGUUCCAAGCGACGAAAACCUUGCAAGCAUGCUCAGUCCUUCUGUCUUCUUCCCUUCCCAGCUGCCAACCUGGACCAGGGAGGAAAAGCUAGCACUGGAGAUGCACAGGAUAUCUCUGGCUGCUCUCAGUGUCUUGUUUUUUCUCAUGAGUAGCCUGGGUUCCCAGAUUUUCUUAUUUCUUUCCCCAAGGAAGAAACCUCGACAACGAAAAUCCCAAGCCCAUGUGAAAGACGAGUUGAUUCCAGCUGCUUGGUACUUAACACUGGCAGACAAGCUCUAAGGACCACCACCAAGAAGACACAGCACAAGACAGCCCACACCAGAUAAUCCUCCAGCUAAUCCAAUUCCUUGAUGACAAGGCAGGACAUCAGAGGCAGCUAUGCAAAAGAGGAAGUGAUGCCGGGCCUCCCCCUCCAGAAGGGAAGAAGUACUCAUUAUCACGCCAAGGGCACCGUUCAGUCCCACUUCCAAGGCUAGCUGUGCUCACAUUUAUUAACGUCUGUUUUCCCAGGCAACAGGAGAUGACGCACACACCCUCCUCGAGACAGAGUCGGCAGAUUUAUUUCCCCAUUAAUGUUCUGGGAAGAACACAAUAGCAUCCAGAGAGCCAGAUGGGUGAGCAGCACCAUUCCAACAGGGUGUUCUACCAACCUCCUCUGGAAAUUAAAUAGAAACACUGUUGCCCCCGUUCCUCCUUAACAACCUAAUGGAUUUUCCACCAACUUAACCAGCCUGAGUCCGCUGGAGGAUGGGCUGCAAGCACCUUGAGGUUUGUGUGGUUUCUAUAACGCUCAUUGGUCUUGUAAAUAGAGCCGGUCUUUAACGAGCCCAGUGGGCCUUUCUGGAUUUGCUCAUCAGCAACCCUGUGGAAGGGGCAGGAGAGCUGUGACAGAUGCAAU
rnacentral:sRNA from 1 species